rnacentral:rRNA from 1 species
AUCGAACGCUGGCGGCAGGCUUAACACAUGCAAGUCGAGCGGUAGCACAGGGGAGCUUGCUCCCUGGGUGACGAGCGGCGGACGGGUGAGUAAUGUCUGGGAAACUGCCUGAUGGAGGGGGAUAACUACUGGAAACGGUAGCUAAUACCGCAUAACGUCGCAAGACCAAAGAGGGGGACCUUCGGGCCUCUUGCCAUCAGAUGUGCCCAGAUGGGAUUAGCUAGUAGGUGGGGUAAUGGCUCACCUAGGCGACGAUCCCUAGCUGGUCUGAGAGGAUGACCAGCCACGCUGGAACUGAGACACGGUCCAGACUCCUACGGGAGGCAGCAGUGGGGAAUAUUGCACAAUGGGCGCAAGCCUGAUGCAGCCAUGCCGCGUGUGUGAAGAAGGCCUUCGGGUUGUAAAGCACUUUCAGCGAGGAGGAAGGUGGUGAGCUUAAUACGUUCAUCAAUUGACGUUACUCGCAGAAGAAGCACCGGCUAACUCCGUG